rnacentral:rRNA from 1 species
UUUUGUGGCCUAACUACCAUAAUGGCACUAAAUCACAUCUGACCUUGGAAACUAGACAAAGCUAGCUCUAGUUAAUACUUAGAUGGGAGACUGCCCAUGAAUAUCAAGUGCUGUAGGCU